CCUACGGGGGGCUGCAGUGGGGAAUUUUGCACAAUGGGCGGAAGCCUGAUGCAGCGACGCCGUGUGGGGGAUGAAGGCCUUCGGGUUGUAAACUCCUUUCGUCAGGGACGAAGUUUGUUUGACGGUACCUGGAUAAGAAGCACCGGCUAACUACGUGCCAGCAGCCGCGGUAAUACGUAGGGUGCGAGCGUUGUCCGGAUUUACUGGGCGUAAAGGGCUCGUAGGUGGUGUGUUGCGUCGUCUGUGUAAUCCAGGGGCUUAACUUUUGGUUGGCAGGCGAUACGGGCAUUGCUUGAGUGCUGUAGGGGAGACUGGAAUUCCUGGUGUAGCGGUGAAAUGCGCAGAUAUCAGGAGGAACACCGAUGGCGAAGGCAGGUCUCUGGGCAGUUACUGACGCUGAGGAGCGAGAGCAUGGGUAGCGAACAGGAUUAGAUACCCCUGUAGUC
rnacentral:rRNA from 1 species